CUAUGCGCCUUGCCAGCCCGCUCAGGUGUGCCAGCAGCCGCGGUAAUACGGAGGAUGCGAGCGUUAUCCGGAUUUAUUGGGUUUAAAGGGUGCGUAGGCGGGAUGCCAAGUCAGCGGUAAAAAUGCGGUGCUCAACCCCGGCCUGCCGUUGAAACUGGUGGCCUCGAGUGGGCGAGAAGUAUGCGGAAUGCGUGGUGUAGCGGUGAAAUGCAUAGAUAUCACGCAGAACCCCGAUUGCGAAGGCAGCCUUCCGGCGCCCUACUGACGCUGAGGCACGAAAGUGCGGGGAUCGAACAGG
rnacentral:rRNA from 1 species